rnacentral:rRNA from 1 species
GCUAACUCCGUGCCAGCAGCCGCSGKKRUACGAGGGUGGCAAGCGUUWUCCGGAUUUAUUGGGUUUAAAAGGGUGSGUAGGCGGUUUGAUAAGUCAGCGGUGAAAUAUUUCAGCUUAACUGGAAGGGKGCCGUUGAUACUGUCAGGCUUGAAUUUAGUUGCUGUGGGUGGAAUGUGUGGUGUAGCGGUGAAAUGCAUAGAUAUCACACAGAAUAUCGAUUGCGAAGGCAGCUCACAAAGCUAAAAUUGACGCUGAUGCACGAAAGUGUGGGGRUCAAACAGGAUUAGAUACCCUGGUAGUCCACGCAGUAAACGAUGAUUACUAGCUGUUUGCGAUACACAGUAAGCGGCACAGCGAAAGCGUUAAGUAAUCCACCUGGGGAGUACGCCGGCAMYMGGUGAAACUCAAAGGAAUUGACGGGGGCCCGCACAAGCGGAGGAACAUGUGGUUUAAUUCGAUGAUACGCGAGGAACCUUACCCGGGUUUGAACGUAGGGAGACAGGGGUGGAAACAUCCUUUUCAGCAAUGACUGCCUACGAGGUGCUGCAUAGUUGUCGUCAGCUCGUGCCGUGAGGUGUCGGCUUAAGUGCCAUAACGAGCGCAACCCUUAUUUCCAGUUACUAACAGGUAAUGCUGAGGACUCUGGAGAGACUGCCAGCGUAAGCUGUGAGGAAGGUGGGGAUGACGUCAAAUCAGCACGGCCCUUACAUCCGGGGCGACACACGUGUUACAAUGGUAAGGACAAAGGGCAGCUACCGGGCGACCGGAUGCGAAUCUCUAAACCUUAUCUCAGUUCGGAUCGGAGUCUGCAACUCGACUCCGUGAAGCUGGAUUCGCUAGUAAUCGCGCAUCAGCCAUGGCGCGGUGAAUACGUUCCCGGGCCUUGUACACACCGCCCGUCAAGCCAUGGGAGCCGGGGGUACCUGAAGUUCGUAACCGCAAGGAUCGACCUAGGGUAAAACUGGUGACUGGGGCUAAGUCGUAACAAGGUAACC